UACGUAGGUGGCAAGCAUUGUCCGGAAUUAUUGGGCGUAAAGCGCGCGCAGGCGGCCUUUUAAGUCUGAUGUGAAAGCCCACGGCUCAACCGUGGAAGGUCAUUGGAAACUGAAAGGCUUGAGUACAGAAGAGGAAAGCGGAAUUCCACGUGUAGCGGUGAAAUGCGUAGAGAUGUGGAGGAACACCAGUGGCGAAGGCGGCUUUCUGGUCUGUAACUGACGCUGGAGGCGCGAAAGCGUGGGGAGCAAACAGG
rnacentral:rRNA from 1 species